UUUUUAUUAGGUGUUUUCGAGUGGAGCCUGGUCGAUGGGUGCAAACUACGUCUGGACCCUCUCUAUUUGCAGAUGAGACGUCACGAGAGAAACAGUUCCAAGUUACUGGCAAAGUUUUUAUAUUUCAAGAACUCGCGGUCAUCAUUCAACAUCCGUAGGGUUGGCAACAUGCAUCGCUAUUCGAUGAAUUCAAAAUCGAAGAAACAGUUGCCGGCAGAAUUUCAAAUGGCGACUAUCCGUGACGGCUUCAACGCAGCGUUGUUUCGAAUAAAUUUCGUGAGCUUUUGGAACGAACAGCGGGCUUAGCAUUGAUCAGAAUAUACCUACAUAAACCUUUAUUCAAACGUGCGAAUGAAUAUCAGGUUAACUGUCAGAUGUGGCUGUGCAGGUAUCGCGGAUUCCAUUUCCUCGAGUUCGGAAGGAUUUGCUGAUGGUAAAUGUUCCGUGUACGUAAUAAUACGUCUAUAAUGGUGUGUAAAUAUCAGCCAGCAGUGACAAACAUUGAGUUCAUAAUUCCCCGACUGUCUGAGAUGGUUAACCAAAAAGUUGGAAUAAUAAAGAUGAUUGAGAGUGGACACACUGGAGCAAAUCACGGACGUCGUGGGAGCCAACUGCUAUCAACAGUAACGUGAAAUCUUAUUUCCACUAAAAUCAUGCGCGUUAACAAUCGCGGCAGCAUCUUGCAAA